rnacentral:rRNA from 1 species
AGUGAACGCUGGCGGUAGGCCUAACACAUGCAAGUCGAACGGCAGCACAGUAAGAGCUUGCUCUUACGGGUGGCGAGUGGCGGACGGGUGAGGAAUACAUUGGAAUCUACUUUUUCGUGGGGGAUAACGUAGGGAAACUUGCGCUAAUACCGCAUACGACCUACGGGUGAAAGCAGGGGAUCUUCGGACCUUGCGCGAUUGAAUGAGCCGAUGUCGGAUUAGCUAGUUGGCGGGGUAAAGGCCCACCAAGGCGACGAUCCGUAGCUGGUCUGAGAGGAUGAUCAGCCACACUGGAACUGAGACACGGUCCAGACUCCUACGGGAGGCAGCAGUGGGGAAUAUUGGACAAUGGGCGCAAGCCUGAUCCAGCCAUACCGCGUGGGUGAAGAAGGCCUUCGGGUUGUAAAGCCCUUUUGUUGGGAAAGAAAAGCAGCAGGUUAAUACCCCGCUGUUCUGACGGUACCCAAAGAAUAAGCACCGGCUAACUUCGUG